rnacentral:misc_RNA from 1 species
AUUUAUAAACGCCUCAAUCGGAAAAAACCUCUCAACUUCUCACGCCUCAACACGAACGAAACCCUCCAGGAAGCUUCAAAUCAUAGUUUGAAGCCAUGGCUUUGGUCAAGAGAGCUGUGGUAUUGCUGUUGAUGAUGGCAUUGUUUCAGGUGAUGGAUGCAGCUAUUUACAAGGUUGGGGACUCAGCUGGUUGGACCACCAUUGGAAAUAUCGACUACAAAGGGUGGGCUGCUACUAAGACCUUUCAAGUCGGUGACACUAUUGUUUUUGAGUACAAUCCUCAAUUUCACAAUGUUAUGCGAGUAACACACGCCAUGUACAGGGCAUGCAAUGCCUCUGCCCCUUUGGCAACCUAUACCACGGGCAAUGAUUCAAUCACCAUAAAAACUCGUGGUCACCAUUUCUUUUUCUGCGGUGUCCCUGGCCAUUGCCAAGCUGGGCAGAAGGUUGACAUCAACUUGCCUCGCAAUGAAGAAGAUCUGGCUCCAACUCCUUCUGCUUCUACUUCUUCUACGCUCUCUCCUCCAGUUCCUGCUGCCAGAGUACCAGGCUCUUCGUCCAGCAGUGCCAUUUCAUUCAAGCAUUUAGGUAAUCUUGCUUCGGCUGUUGCUGUUUUGGAAACUCUGGUUUUCAAUUUUGCUUAAUUAAGAGGUGCUUGAUGAAACUUGGGAGGGAUUUAUGAGAUGGACCAAUUAGUUAUGUAAUAAUUGAAUUAUUAUAAUCUUGAUUAAAUGUAUUGAUCAGAACUAAUAAAGGAGCCUAAUCACUCACUUAACAUAUCCAAAUUCGAGAUU